UGAAGCUUGCCAGAGCAAGUCUCAGCUUUUGUGGUGAGAACAGGAAGGACCAAGAAGCUGCCUGGCAUUAGAUCCCCAGGCCUGACACUCUAACAGAGCAAGCACCACAUUUUUAAAAUCAAAGGUCAAAUGCCAGAGCUUUCUGGCCAAGCAGUAAUUUAUUUUAAGAUUCCUGGACAUAGGGAGGGCACGGGAGAAGGGGAGGAAAACGGAGAGGGACCUGGAACUGACUUGUGAAGCAACCUUGUUUUUAAUUUAAAUUUAAAUUAAAAAAAAAGAUUCCUGGACACAGCUUAUCAAGACAACCCUGAAAAAAAAAAAGACGACCCUGUGGGUUCAAGUAUUUCCUACUACUAAGCCUCAGGCAUGGAGUGAUUUGCACAGCCUCUCCAGGAAUGGCAAUCGCCUGACCCAUCGCAGCUGCUGAAGUUAAAAUUCUCCUCCUGAUAAAUUACCUCCCUCUUCAAAGGACCUGGAACUACCCCUGCCCGACGAAAACCCGCCUCACCCUCAAAUAUCUUCUGCCUGUAGUGAAGUAAAAGAGGCAGCAGGAGGAAGCUCUUGAAAUACAGAGUUCUCAGGCUCCAUCCUCAGAGAGCUUUAGGAGGUCUCUAGAGGUAACCUGGCUGGCAUAUGCCUCUUUUAACAGGUAUUGUUUUUUCCCCUGGGAUGCAAGGUUGUAAUGAACAGUGUUUAACCUGAACAGUCCCACAGCACCACAACCCGGGGGACUCCGUGAACACUUCCUGUCUCCAGGCUCUUGGCCAAGGCUGACUCAGGCGGCUCCCUCUCUGGAAUGGACAAAUUCUGCUGUAUCCAACACUCAUUUGAGCUUUUGUUCUUUGACCUCGCUAUUUUAAGUUCUAUUAAAAUUAAAAUGUUGUUUGCAGCA